rnacentral:rRNA from 1 species
GACGUAGGGCGCGAGCGUUGUCCGGAUUUAUUGGGCGUAAAGAGCUCGUAGGCGGCUCGUUGCGUCGGCUGUGAAAACCUGCAGCUUAACUGUGGGCGUGCGGUCGAUACGGGCAUCACUGGAGUUCGGCAGGGGAGACUGGAAUUCCUGGUGUAGCGGUGAAAUGCGCAGAUAUCAGGAGGAACACCGGUGGCGAAGGCGGGUCUCUGGGCCGAUACUGACGCUGAGGAGCGAAAGCGUGGGGAGCGAACAGG